UACGGAGGGGGCGAGCGUUAUUCGGAAUUAUUGGGCGUAAAGGGCGCGUAGGCGGCUUGGUAAGUCAAAGGUGAAAUCCCUCGGCUCAACUGAGGAAUUGCCUUUGAAACUGCCUGGCUCGAGGCCGGGAGGGGGUAGCGGAAUUCCCAGUGUAGCGGUGAAAUGCGUAGAUAUUGGGAGGAGCACCGGUGGCGAAGGCGGCUACCUGGACCGGUUCUGACGCUGAUGCGCGAAAGCCAGGGGAGCAAACGGG
rnacentral:rRNA from 1 species